AUUGAACGCUGGCGGCAUGCCUUACACAUGCAAGUCGAACGGUAACAGGUCUUCGGAUGCUGACGAGUGGCGAACGGGUGAGCAAUGCAUCGGAACGUGCCCAGUAGUGGGGGAUAGCCCGGCGAAAGCCGGAUUAAUACCGCAUACGACCUGGGGGUGAAAGGGGGGUGUCGCAAGACCUCUCGCUAUUGGAGCGGCCGAUGGCAGAUUAGCUAGUUGGUGGGGGAAAGGCAUACCAAGGCAACGAUCGGUAGGUGGUCUGAGAGGACGACCGGCCAGACUAGGACUUAGACACGGCCCAGACUCCUACGUGAGGCAGCAGUGGGGAAUUUAGGACAAUGGGCGCAAGCCUGAUCCAGCAAUGCCGCGUGCAGGAAGAAGGCCUUCGGGUUGUAAACUGCUUUUGUCAGGGAAGAAAUCUUCUGGGUUAAUACCUCGGGAGGAUGACGGUACCUGAAGAAUAAGCACCGGCUAACUACGUGCCAGCAGCCGCCGUAAUAC
rnacentral:rRNA from 1 species